GACGAACGCUGGCGGCGUGCUUAACACAUGCAAGUCGAACGGAAAGGCCCUGCUUUUGUGGGGUGCUCGAGUGGCGAACGGGUGAGUAACACGUGAGUAACCUGCCCUUGACUUUGGGAUAACUUCAGGAAACUGGGGCUAAUACCGGAUAGGAGCUCCUGCUGCAUGGUGGGGGUUGGAAAGUUUCGGCGGUUGGGGAUGGACUCGCGGCUUAUCAGCUUGUUGGUGGGGUAGUGGCUUACCAAGGCUUUGACGGGUAGCCGGCCUGAGAGGGUGACCGGCCACAUUGGGACUGAGAUACGGCCCAGACUCCUACGGGAGGCAGAAGUGGGGAAUAUUGCACAAUGGGCGGAAGCCUGAUGCAGCAGCGCCGCGUGCGGGAUGACGGCCUUCGGGUUGUAAACCGCUUUCGCCUGUGACGAAGCGUGAGUGACGGUAAUGGGAAAAGAAGCACCGGCUAACUACGUG
rnacentral:rRNA from 1 species